AUUGAACGCUGGCGGCAGGCUUAACACAUGCAAGUCGAGCGAGCGGCGGACGGGUGAGUAAUGUCUGUGAAACUGCCUGAUGGAGGGGGAUAACUACUGGAAACGGUAGCUAAUACUGCAUACCAUCAGAUGUGCCCAGAUGGGAUUAGCUAGUAGGUGGGUUAAUGGCGCACCUAGGCGACGAUCCCUAGCUGGUCUGAGAGGAUGACCAGCCACACUGGAACUGAGACGCGGUCCAGGCUACUACGGGGGGCAGCAGGGGGGAAUAUUGCACAAUUGGCGCAAGCCUGAUGCAGCCAUGCCGGAGGUGAAGAAGGCCUUCGGGUUGUAAAGCACUUUCAGCGAGGAGGCGUUACUCGCAGAAGAAGCACCGGCUAACUCCGUGCCAGCCGCCGCGGUAAUUC
rnacentral:rRNA from 1 species